UACGUAGGGUGCAAGCGUUGUCCGGAAUUAUUGGGCGUAAAGAGCUCGUAGGCGGCUUGUCACGUCGACUGUGAAAACCCGGGGCUCAACUCCGGGCCUGCAGUCGAUACGGGCUGGCUUGAGUGCGGUAGGGGAGACUGGAAUUCCUGGUGUAGCGGUGAAAUGCGCAGAUAUCAGGAGGAACACCAGUGGCGAAAGCGGCUUCCUGGUCCAGCACCGACGUUCAGGCACGAAAGCGUGGGGAGCAAACAGG
rnacentral:rRNA from 1 species